UACGAGGGGGGCGAGCGUUGUUCGGAAUUAUUGGGCGUAAAGGGUGCGUAGGCGGUUUGGUAAGUCUGAUGUGAAAUCUAUGGGCUCAACUCAUAGUCUGCAUCGGAAACUGCCGGGCUUGAGUGUGGGAGAGGUGAGUGGAAUUCCUGGUGUAGCGGUGAAAUGCGUAGAUAUCUGGAGGAACACCGGUGGCGAAGGCGGCAUCCUGGACCAUUACUGACGCUGAGUGAGCGAAAGCCAGGGGAGCAAACGGG
rnacentral:rRNA from 1 species